UAGAUCCUGUUAUGACUUACAGGACA
rnacentral:piRNA from 1 species